CCUACGGGAGGCAGCAGUGAGGAAUAUUGGUCAAUGGGCGAAAGCCUGAACCAGCCAUGCCGCGUGCAGGAAGACGGCUCUAUGAGUUGUAAACUGCUUUUGUACGAGGGUAAACACAGAUACGUGUAUCUGCUUGAAAGUAUCGUACGAAUAAGGAUCGGAUAACUCCGUGCCAGCAGCCGCGGUAAUACGGAGGAUCCAAGCGUUAUCCGGAUUUAUUGGGUUUAAAGGGUGCGUAGGCGGGCUUUUAAGUCAGCGGUAAAAAUUCGGGGCUCAACCCCGUCCGGCCGUUGAAACUGGGGGCCUUGAGUGGGCGAGAAGAAGGCGGAAUGCGUGGUGUAGCGGUGAAAUGCAUAGAUAUCACGCAGAACCCCGAUUGCGAAGGCAGCCUUCCGGCGCCCUACUGACGCUGAGGCACGAAAGUGCGGGGAUCGAACAGGAUUAGAUACCCUAGUAGUC
rnacentral:rRNA from 1 species